rnacentral:rRNA from 1 species
UACGUAGGUGGCAAGCGUUGUCCGGAUUUACUGGGCGUAAAGAGCGCGCAGGCGGUCGUUCAAGUCGCGUGUGAAAGCCCCGGCUCAACUGGGAGGGUCACGCGUACUGAUCGACUCGGAAGGCAGGAGAGGGUAGUGGAAUUCCCGGUGUAGUGGUGAAAUGCGUAGAUAUCGGGAGGAACACCAGUGGCGAAGGCGACUACCUGGCCCUGUUCUUG